GACGAACGCUGGCGGCGUGCCUAAUACAUGCAAGUAGAACGCUGAAGGAGGAGCUUGCUUCUCUGGAUGAGUUGCGAACGGGUGAGUAACGCGUAGGUAACCUGCCUGGUAGCGGGGGAUAACUAUUGGAAACGAUAGCUAAUACCGCAUAAGAGUAGAUGUUGCAUGACAUUUGCUUAAAAGGUGCAAUUGCAUCACUACCAUAUGGACCUGCGUUGUAUUAGCUAGUUGGUGGGGUAACGGCUCACCAAGGCGACGAUACAUAGCCGACCUGAGAGGGUGAUCGGCCACACUGGGACUGAGACACGGCCCAGACUCCUACGGGAGGCAGCAGUAGGGAAGCUUCGGCAAUGGACGGAAGUCUGACCGAGCAACGCCGCGUGAGUGAAGAAGGUUUUCGGAUCGUAAAGCUCUGUUGUAAGAGAAGAACGAGUGUGAGAGUGGAAAGUUCACACUGUGACGGUAUCUUACCAGAAAGGGACGGCUAACUACGUG
rnacentral:rRNA from 1 species